UACAGAGGUCCCAAGCGUUGUUCGGAUUCACUGGGCGUAAAGGGUGCGCAGGUGGGUUUGCAAGUUCGAUGUGAAAGCCCCGGGCUUAACCCGGGAAUGGCAUUGGAUACUGCAGAUCUGGAGGAUCGGAGGGGGGACUGGAAUUCUUGGUGUAGCAGUGAAAUGCGUAGAUAUCAAGAGGAACACCGGUGGCGAAGGCAGCUCUCUGGGACGGUACUGACGCUGAGACGCGAAAGCGUGGGGAGCGAACAGG
rnacentral:rRNA from 1 species